rnacentral:lncRNA from 1 species
CUGAGAUAGCUUUUAAAUUAUAAUAAAAUUGUAAAAUUUAAAGAAAGUUGUUUUUAAUAUAAUUUAGAAAUGCUCUUAAUAAGAGUAUGCCCAAAUCUAAAUUAAACAGAAAUUUAUGACAUAUAAGGUAUUACAUUUUGUUUUAAUUUGGCUGAGAAAUUUGGGCUCACUUUACAGAUAAAGUGAAAUAAGGAACAUUGAUUUUUUAAAUAUGAAAAAACUAACAGGAAAGCAAUAAAAGUUUAAAAAUAAUAAAACCACUACAGUAUAUUGACUAUUUGCAUUGUAUUAGGUAGUAUAAGUAAUCUAGAGAUAAUUUAAACUAUAUGGAGGGAUUUGCAUCAGUUAUAUGCAA